rnacentral:rRNA from 1 species
UGGGGAAUAUUGCACAAUGGGCGCAAGCCUGAUGCAGCCAUGCCGCGUGUAUGAAGAAGGCCUUCGGGUUGUAAAGUACUUUCAGUCGGGAGGAAGGUGGUAAGGUUAAUAACCUUAUCAAUUGACGUUACCGACAGAAGAAGCACCGGCUAACUCCGUGCCAGCAGCCGCGGUAAUACGGAGGGUGCAAGCGUUAAUCGGAAUUACUGGGCGUAAAGCGCACGCAGGCGGUUGAUUGAGUCAGAUGUGAAAUCCCCGGGCUCAACCUGGGAACUGCAUCUGAUACUGGCAAGCUUGAGUCUCGUAGAGGGGGGUAGAAUUCCAGGUGUAGCGGUGAAAUGCGUAGAGAUCUGGAGGAAUACCGGUGGCGAAGGCGGCCCCCUGGACGAAGACUGACGCUCAGGUGCGAAAGCGUGGGGAGCAAACAGGA